UCGAGUGAUGCCUUCGGCCCCCGGGUAA
rnacentral:sRNA from 1 species